rnacentral:rRNA from 1 species
AGUUUGAUCCUGGCUCAGAUUGAACGCUGGCGGCAGGCCUAACACAUGCAAGUCGAGCGGUAGAGAGAAGCUUGCUUCUCUUGAGAGCGGCGGACGGGUGAGUAAUGCCUAGGAAUCUGCCUGGUAGUGGGGGAUAACGUUCGGAAACGGACGCUAAUACCGCAUACGUCCUACGGGAGAAAGCAGGGGACCUUCGGGCCUUGCGCUAUCAGAUGAGCCUAGGUCGGAUUAGCUAGUUGGUGAGGUAAUGGCUCACCAAGGCGACGAUCCGUAACUGGUCUGAGAGGAUGAUCAGUCACACUGGAACUGAGACACGGUCCAGACUCCUACGGGAGGCAGCAGUGGGGAAUAUUGGACAAUGGGCGAAAGCCUGAUCCAGCCAUGCCGCGUGUGUGAAGAAGGUCUUCGGAUUGUAAAGCACUUUAAGUUGGGAGGAAGGGUUGUAGAUUAAUACUCUGCAAUUUUGACGUUACCGACAGAAUAAGCACCGGCUAACUCUGUGCCAGCAGCCGCGGUAAUACAGAGGGUGCAAGCGUUAAUCGGAAUUACUGGGCGUAAAGCGCGCGUAGGUGGUUUGUUAAGUUGGAUGUGAAAUCCCCGGGCUCAACCUGGGAACUGCAUUCAAAACUGACUGACUAGAGUAUGGUAGAGGGUGGUGGAAUUUCCUGUGUAGCGGUGAAAUGCGUAGAUAUAGGAAGGAACACCAGUGGCGAAGGCGACCACCUGGACUAAUACUGACACUGAGGUGCGAAAGCGUGGGGAGCAAACAGGAUUAGAUACCCUGGUAGUCCACGCCGUAAACGAUGUCAACUAGCCGUUGGAAGCCUUGAGCUUUUAGUGGCGCAGCUAACGCAUUAAGUUGACCGCCUGGGGAGUACGGCCGCAAGGUUAAAACUCAAAUGAAUUGACGGGGGCCCGCACAAGCGGUGGAGCAUGUGGUUUAAUUCGAAGCAACGCGAAGAACCUUACCAGGCCUUGACAUCCAAUGAACUUUCUAGAGAUAGAUUGGUGCCUUCGGGAACAUUGAGACAGGUGCUGCAUGGCUGUCGCAGCUCGUG